rnacentral:pre_miRNA from 1 species
GUUUACCUGUGUGUGAAUGGUAUUCAGUGCCAAGGAGAGAUUUGUUUACCCGUGUGUGGAUGGUGUUCAGCACCAAGGACAGGCAUGCUUUCAU